AGUUAUGAAAUGUAAGUGCGCUAAUAUCGUGCUUAUUUGACAAAGGCUCCAAAGGAAGCCACGGCUAACUCUGUGCCAGCAGCCGCGGUAAUACAGAGGUGGCGAGCGUUGUUCGGAAUUAUUGGGCGUAAAGAGCGCGUAGGUGGGUUUGCAAGUCAGAUGUGAAAGCCUUCUGUUCAAAGGAAGAAUUGCAUCUGAAACUGUUAAUCUUGAGUAUAGGAGGGGGGAGUGGAACUUCUGGU
rnacentral:rRNA from 1 species